rnacentral:tRNA from 2 species
CGUGGGAUAGAGUAAUGUUAACUCAUUGGGCUCAUAACCCAAAAAUGGGGGUUCAAUUCCCUCUCCCGCAA